rnacentral:pre_miRNA from 1 species
CAAAGUGUCACCAGGGAAUCUUGUUAAAAUGCAGAUUCUAUGUCUCCAGUUUGACAGUGAGGGUUCUGAAUUUCUGAUGAGCUCACAGGUGGCACUGAG